GAUGAACGCUGGCGGCGUGCCUAAUACAUGCAAGUCGAGCGAACGGACGAGAAGCUUGCUUCUCUGAUGUUAGCGGCGGACGGGUGAGUAACACGUGGAUAACCUACCUAUAAGACUGGGAUAACUUCGGGAAACCGGAGCUAAUACCGGAUGAUAUUUUGAACCGCAUGGUUCAACAGUGAAAGACGGUCUUGCUGUCACUUAUAGAUGGAUCCGCGCUGCAUUAGCUAGUUGGUAAGGUAACGGCUUACCAAGGCAACGAUGCAUAGCCGACCUGAGAGGGUGAUCGACCACACUGGAACUGAGACACGGACCAGACUACUACGGGAGGCAGCAGUAGGGAAUCUUCCGCAAUGGGCGAAAGCAUGACGGAGCAAAGCCGCGUGAGUGAUGAAGGUCUUCGGAUCGUAAAAAUCUGUUAUUAGGGAAGAACAUAUGUGUAAGUAACUGGGCACAUCUUGAAGGUACCUAAUCAGAAAGACACGGAUAACUACGUG
rnacentral:rRNA from 1 species